rnacentral:rRNA from 1 species
AGUGAACGCUGGCGGUAGGCCUAACACAUGCAAGUCGAACGGCAGCACAGGAGAGCUUGCUCUCUGGGUGGCGAGUGGCGGACGGGUGAGGAAUACAUCGGAAUCUACUCUGUCGUGGGGGAUAACGUAGGGAAACUUACGCUAAUACCGCAUACGACCUACGGGUGAAAGCAAGGGACCUUCGGGCCUUGCGCGAUUGAAUGAGCCGAUGUCGGAUUAGCUAGUUGGCGGGGUAAAGGCCCACCAAGGCGACGAUCCGUAGCUGGUCUGAGAGGAUGAUCAACCACACUGGAACUGAGACACGGGCCAGACUCCUACGGGAGGCAGCAGUGGGGAAUAUUGGACAAUGGGCGCAAGCCUGAUCCAGCCAUACCGCGUGGGUGAAGAAGGCCUUCGGGUUGUAAAGCCCUUUUGUUGGGAAAGAAAUCCAGCUGGCUAAUACCCGGUUGGGAUGACGGUACCCAAAGAAUAAGCACCGGCUAACUUCGUGCCAGCAGCCGCCGUAA